rnacentral:SRP_RNA from 1 species
GCCGGGCAUGGUGGCUCACGCCUGUAAUCCCAGCACUUUGGGAGGCCGAGGCGGGUGGAUCACCUGAGGUCAGGAGUUCGAGACCAGCCUGGCCAACAUGGUGAAACCCCGUCUCUA